rnacentral:rRNA from 1 species
UCGAGAAUUUUUCUCAAUGGGGGCAACCCUGAAGGAGCGACGCCGCGUGGAGGAUGAAUGGCUUCGGCUUGUAAACUCCUGUCAUUUGGGAACAAGUGGUCGAACGUAACUGCUUCGGCCUUGAUAGUACCAGAAGAGGAAGAGACGGCUAACUCUGUGCCAGCAGCCGCGGUAAUACAGAGGUCUCAAGCGUUGUUCGGAUUCAUUGGGCGUAAAGGGUGCGUAGGUGGCGCCGUAAGUCGGGUGUGAAAUCCCGGGGCUUAACCCCGGGACUGCAUUCGAUACUGCGGUGCUUGAGGACUGGAGAGGAGACUGGAAUUCAUGGUGUAGCAGUGAAAUGCGUAGAGAUCAUGAGGAAGACCAGUGGCGAAGGCGGGUCUCUGGACAGUUCCUGACACUGAGGCACGAAGGCCAGGGGAGCAAACGG